rnacentral:rRNA from 1 species
GACGUAGGGCGCGAGCGUUGUCCGGAUUUAUUGGGCGUAAAGAGCUCGUAGGCGGUCUGUUACGUCCGCUGUGAAAACCCAGGGCUUAACCCUGGGCUUGCAGUGGAUACGGGUAGACUAGAGGCAGGUAGGGGAGAAUGGAAUUCCCGGUGUAGCGGUGAAAUGCGCAGAUAUCGGGAGGAACACCGGUGGCGAAGGCGGUUCUCUGGGCCUGACCUGACGCUGAGGAGCGAAAGCGUGGGGAGCGAACAGG